rnacentral:rRNA from 1 species
AUUGAACGCUGGCGGCAUGCCUUACACAUGCAAGUCGAACGGCAGCAUGGAGAGCUUGCUCUCUGAUGGCGAGUGGCGAACGGGUGAGUAAUGCAUCGGAACGUACCGUGUAAUGGGGGAUAACGUAGCGAAAGUUACGCUAAUACCGCAUACGACCUGAGGGUGAAAGCAGGGGAUCGCAAGACCUCGCGUUAUACGAGCGGCCGAUGUCAGAUUAGCUAGUUGGUGAGGUAAAGGCUCACCAAGGCGACGAUCUGUAGCGGGUCUGAGAGGAUGAUCCGCCACACUGGGACUGAGACACGGCCCAGACUCCUACGGGAGGCAGCAGUGGGGAAUUUUGGACAAUGGGGGCAACCCUGAUCCAGCCAUGCCGCGUGAGUGAAGAAGGCCUUCGGGUUGUAAAGCUCUUUCGGCCGGGAAGAAAUCGCACAGGCUAAUACUCUGUGUGGAUGACGGUACCGGCAUAAGAAGCACCGGUUUACUACGUGCCAGCCGCCGCGGUAA